rnacentral:rRNA from 1 species
UACGUAGGGGGCGAGCGUUGUCCGGAAUCAUUGGGCGUAAAGCGCGUGUAGGCGGCUCGAUAAGUCCGGUGUGAAACCUUGGGGCUCAACCCCAAGCCUGCACUGGAUACUGCCGAGCUAGAGUCCGGGAGGGGAGAGCGGAAUUCCUAGUGUAGCGGUGAAAUGCGCAGAUAUCAGGAGGAACACCGGUGGCGAAGGCGGGUCUCUGGGCAACUACUGACGCUGAGGAGCGAAAGCGUGGGGAGCGAACAGG